GAAUCAUUAACUCUGUUUUACAGAUGAAGACAAAGCUGAAGUGAGCUGCCCAGUUUGUGCUGCAGGAGUCUCCAUGAGGAGCACAUGGGCAGAGAAGAUCUACGGAUCUCCGUGGAGUCACCUGGAGAAGUGUGAGGCCAGCCAGGAAAGCACUGAGACAAGGGAUGUGUGGUGCUGACUCUGCUGGGCUGGAGAUCCCAAGGGAAAUUCAUGGGGUGGGCUUGACAAAAUCUUGUGCUUCUGAGCUCAGCAAUGAAGUUUUAAUCACCCCAAUAUACAUCUUUCCACGAUAUAUAUUUUUCUGUCUACCAAAGACAUAAUGGCUGCUCCUUUUAUGGGAAACCAGGAUUUAAUCCAGCAAACAAAAUGACAGAAUCAGAGACCAGUGUCCUGCUCUGGUGAGUCACAAUGAUUUUAUC
rnacentral:lncRNA from 1 species